rnacentral:rRNA from 1 species
UUAAUGACUCUCGGCAACGGAUAUCUCGGCUCUCGCAUCGAUGAAGAACGUAGCGAAAUGCGAUACUUGGUGUGAAUUGCAGAAUCCCGUGAACCAUCGAGUCUUUGAACGCAAGUUGCGCCCGAAGCCUUCUGGCCGAGGGCACGUCUGCCUGGGCGUCACGC